rnacentral:rRNA from 1 species
UACGGAGGGUGCAAGCGUUUAUCCGGAUUCACUGGGUUUAAAGGGUGCGUAGGAGGGCAGGUAAGUCAGUGGUGAAAUCUCCAAGCUUAACUUGGAACUGCCGUUGAUACUAUCUGUCUUGAAUACCGUGGAGGUGAGCGGAAUAUGUCAUGUAGCGGUGAAAUGCUUAGAUAUGACAUAGAACACCAAUUGCGAAGGCGCUCGCUACACGAAUAUUGACUCUGAGGCACGAAAGACGUGGGGAUCAAACAGGAAUUAGAAACCCCUUGGUA